rnacentral:tRNA from 1 species
UGCUUCGUGGUGUAAUCAGUAGCACAGCGGUCUCUGACACUGCUGGUCCUGGAGCAAAGCCAGGCGAGGCAGCCA